CUUACUUCUUGGCCUUUUGGCUAAGAUCAAGUGUAGUUAUCUGCUCUUGUCAGUUUAAUAAAAAUCCCUUUUAGUAGAAAGGGUGACAAGAAUACUCU
ensembl:snRNA U2 U2 spliceosomal RNA